AGGUACUGUUAUACUUUGGCUGUAGCAGCACCAUGACAGCUUGAUUUUGCUCGGUCUCCUUCUUCGGGCUCUUGAAGCAUGGAUUGUCUCGAGAAAUUGGAAUAGAUUGGUGAUGGUGAAGGCAAAAAUGGAUGCAUGCACAUGGCAGCAAAAGGGACAAUCUUGGAUGCACUUUGUGUUGGUUUCAUCUGAAGCUGAGACAGAGUGUGUUGUAUUGUGCAAAAGUGGCAAGGAUAUGAGAAUAUGGCCAUCUAAGUGUGCUGAUCUUUUGGUUUGGAUUUGCUCUGGAGGACUUUUUGAUCUAAAAAGGUGAGAUAUUCUCAUGUAGUACCCAUUUCUCCUUUCUAUUAGUUUAACUCUGGCGGAGAUACCAUUUUGGUUUCAUCUUGAUAGAGACACUUAGAAAGAGACUUGAAAAGUUAUCCCGAUUAAAUACUAUAAUUUGGCAAUUGGUUGGUGUAGGAUCACAUAUAUAUCUUUUGUACCUUCUGAUUUGCAACCUAGAUGAAAAUAAAUACGAAUCAUACUACACUCUAGCGAUGACUAACUGAAUGUCGCAACCUAGAUGAAAAUAAAUACGAAUCAUACUACACUCCAGCGACAACUAAUUGAAUGUAUUAGAGCAACAACAUCGAAAAAGGGUCACUUGGAGCACUUACCUUCGUCAUUACAAAGAAGUACUGCUGAGUGAGAGAUCUACAUGAUCAAAAUGUGAGAAUAUGACGCAAUUCCGGCGGUAAUCUCUCAUGCUACUGCCUUAGCAUUUGCGACUAAUUUUUGCUUAUUUCUUUUACACUCUUUUUACCUGCUAAUGUUUAUGUGUCAGUAUUUUCUAUACAGACUAAUACAUCACAUACACCAUUGUAUAAAACUCCAGUGGUUGCAAUUUAAUGAAUCAUAGAGAUCUACAUACUGGUGACCGGCCGGACUGCUAAUCUUAAUUUUAUAUUCGAGUUGAAUGCUUUUGGACAAGACAGAAUUUCCCUGGAAAGUCAAACAGAAUCAUGUGUUUCGCAGUUACACGCUUGAAGCACCUUGCAGUCAGUGCUCCAGCAUUGUCUUUCAAGAGGGACAGCUAAAUCAACUCUUCCAACUGUAGCAAUUUUCAGUUUUGUUGGUUCUGUAGGGGGUCGGGAAGACUCAGAUUUAAUGUGGCUCUAAAUGGAUGUAGAUAAAAAGGAUGAUACUGAAGACAAAGGUGGUCUUACAAAUGAGCAUAACUAAUAAUUAUGAAUGUGUAGCUGUUGGAGACGUUUCUCUCGGUCCUGUGAUUAUGAAAGCGAUUCUAGACAACAUGCUUCUGAUAGUGAUGAGCUCCUUACAGGGAUGGGUGUGGUGUAAGCGAUAGCAACAAUAAUUCAGGUUAAGAUGUCACUACUAUUCUGGAAACGACAGUUUUUCAUCUAGCUAAUUUUGUUUUUUAUUUAUCGAUUUAGUUGUA